rnacentral:rRNA from 1 species
AGCGAACGCUGGCGGCAGGCCUAACACAUGCAAGUCGAACGAAGUCUUCGGACUUAGUGGCGGACGGGUGAGUAACACGUGGGAACGUGCCUUUAGGUUCGGAAUAACUCAGGGAAACUUGUGCUAAUACCGAAUGUGCCCUUCGGGGGAAAGAUUUAUCGCCUUUAGAGCGGCCCGCGUCUGAUUAGCUAGUUGGUGAGGUAAAGGCUCACCAAGGCUAUGAUCAGUAGCUGGUCUGAGAGGAUGAUCAGCCACAUUGGGACUGAGACACGGCCCAAACUCCUACGGGAGGCAGCAGUGGGGAAUCUUGCGCAAUGGGCGAAAGCCUGACGCAGCCAUGCCGCGUGGAUGAUGAAGGUCUUAGGAUUGUAAAAUCCUUUCACCGGUGAAGAUAAUGACUGUAGCCGGAGAAGAAGCCCCGGCUAACUUCGUGCCAGCCGCCGCGGUAACAC